rnacentral:tRNA from 1 species
CAGAUAUUAGUUUAAUAAAAAUUUUAAUUUUGGAGAUUAAAAAUAAGAAGUUUCUUAUAUCUGA